GUGCCAGCCGCCGCGGUAAUACGUAGGUGGCAAGCGUUGUCCGGAUUUAUUGGGCGUAAAGGGAGCGCAGGCGGUGACUUAAGUCUGAUGUGAAAGCCCACGGCUCAACCGUGGAAGGUCAUUGGAAACUGGGUCACUUGAGUGCAGAAGAGGAAAGUGGAAUUCCAUGUGUAGCGGUGAAAUGCGUAGAUAUAUGGAGGAACACCAGUGGCGAAGGCGACUUUCUGGUCUGUAACUGACGCUGAGGCUCGAAAGCGUGGGAGCAAACAGGAUUAGA
rnacentral:rRNA from 1 species